UACGUAGGGUGCAAGCGUUGUCCGGAAUUAUUGGGCGUAAAGAGCUUGUAGGCGGUUUGUCGCGUCUGCUGUGAAAUUUCGGGGCUCAACCCCGAACUUGCAGUGGGUACGGGCAGACUAGAGUGUGGUAGGGGAGACUGGAAUUCCUGGUGUAGCGGUGAAAUGCGCAGAUAUCAGGAGGAACACCGGUGGCGAAGGCGGCCUUCUGGACAGUGACUGACGCUGAGACGCGAAAGCGUGGGGAGCAAACAGG
rnacentral:rRNA from 1 species